CGGAGGGUCCAAGCGUUAUCCGGAAUCAUUGGGUUUAAAGGGUCCGUAGGCGGUUUUGUAAGUCAGUGGUGAAAGCCCAUCGCUCAACGGUGGAACGGCCAUUGAUACUGCAAGACUUGAAUUAUUAGGAAGUAACUAGAAUAUGUAGUGUAGCGGUGAAAUGCUUAGAUAUUACAUGGAAUACCAAUUGCGAAGGCAGGUUACUACUAAUUGAUUGACGCUGAUGGACGAAAGCGUGGGGAGCGAACAGGAUUAGAUACCCUGGUAGUCCACGCCGUAAACGAUGGAUACUAGCUGUUCGGAGCAAUCUGAGUGGCUAAGCGAAAGUGAUAAGUAUCCCACCUGGGGAGUACGUUCGCAAGAAUG
rnacentral:rRNA from 1 species